AGAAACCCUAAACGACAGCCACAUAAAAACGCAACACUCUAUCUCGGUUUCUAGGACUCAACGAAGCUGGAUUUGACUUUCUUAAGGAUGUGGUUACAUCUUUGCUUUCGAGAAAAUCGUUUUGUGUAAAGCCAAAAAGGAGAAACGGACAUGGACAGCGCGCGGUCUCCAGCAAGAAAGGAUGGAGCGGGAAUGAAACAUCAUUACAGGAGGAAUGGUACAAGCAACGAUUUUAGUUCUUACUUUUGUUUCUUCUUCUUCUUCAAUGAUAACAAUCAACUCAGUUCUUACUUCUAUUUCUUCUAAUCUUCUUCUUCUUCACUGAUAGCAGUCUUCUUUUUCUUUCUUCUCAAAACUCUGAAGCAUACCAAAUAACAACGAUUUCAGUUCUUACAAAUCAGAAUUCAGAAAUCAGAACCAUUAAAUUUUGAAUUCAGAACCAUCAAAUUUCGACAUCAGAAGCUUCAUAAUCUUACCUGCUUGAGCCUUGAGGUUUCGAAAUCAAAGAUUUUGAAAUUCAGAACCAUCAACUAUGAGUUUUCGUAAAUCAGAAGGAAAAAGGAACACAGAAUGGAGAUUGCAGGUUUUCUGAUUUUUUUUAGAAGCAUAACAUUGUUUUUUUAAUUUGAAGUGUCAAAAAUCAUAAGUUUUGAUACCUUCUCUUGGUGAUUUGAAGUGUGGAAAAUCUAGAACCAAGAAGAAAUCUACAAAUCCUAAUUCGCAAAUAAGGUCGUUUCUGUCUUUUCUAUAAUUUACGAUGCCUUCUAGAUUAAAAAAAUAUGUAUCUAGAUAUGAAAAACGUAAAAAGAAACAAAAAAUUGAAGAAGAAAAUAAAACUCAAGCAAGAUCUAUGGAUAAGUGUAUAACAAAAAAACACAAAACUUUCUGGAAAAUGAAACAAAACUGUUAAUGAAGAUAAUCUUAAUGGUAAUGAUUAUGUUGAUAUUGAUGUUAAUGAUAAUUAUAAUGAUAAUGUUGAUGUGAAUGAUAAUCCUAAUGUUGAUGUUGAUGAUAAUGUUGAUUUUCAUAUUUUUGAUAUAUUUGAUCCAAGAAAUUAGGAUGUUCUUGAUUCUAAUAUGAUAAAUAUUUUAGCAUUGAAAGGUCCUAAAAGAGAUUUAUCCAUUAUAAAAGGUCCUAAAGAUAAACAUUUAAGAAGAUUUACUGCAACACAUUAUACUAAAACUUUAUCAAAUGGGGAAAAAUAUGAUAGAGAUUGACUUGUUUAUUCUAAAGAAAUUGACAAAACUAGUAUGGAACAUGUUAAAAAUAUAAAUACUUGGUAUAAUUUGCAUUUACGAUUACAAAAAAAUAAAAUAAAACUAUUGAUAAUGUGGCUAAAAAACAAUUAAAAAAAAGAAAAAGGUAAUUGGAGACAAGUUUUGUUGAGAAUUAUCUCUAUUGUGAAAUUCUUGCUAAACAUAAUCUUGCUUUUCGUGGUACUAAUGAGAAAGUUUAUGAAGAUAAUAAUGGAAAUUUCUUAGGCUUAUUUGAAUUGUUGGCUGAUUUUGACAUGGUUUAUUAUGAGCAUAUACAACGUAUUAUAAAUGAAUUUGGUAUCCAUAAACAUUAUUUUGGGCAUAUGAUAUAAAAUGAAUUAAUACAUUUUCUUUAUUCCGAAAUAAAAUCUAUGAUUAUUAAAAAAAGAUAAAAAAUGCAAAAUAUUUUUCUAUAAUACUUGAUUGUACUCCCGAUAUAAGUCACCAAGAGCAAAUGCCUAUUAUUUAUGAUAUGUAGAUGUUUCGUCAAAUAUUGUUUGCAUUGAAGAAUCAUUUUUAUGGUUUCUAGAUGUAAAUGAUACAACCGGCCAAAGACUUUUUCAUGUUUUACAAAAUGAACUGAAUUUGUUUGAUCUUGACAUUAAUAAUGUGUGUGGACAAGGUUAUGAUAAUGGAUCAAAUAUAAAAGGAAAACAUCAAGGAGUGCAAAAAAAAACUUUUAGAUAUAAAUUCUGGAGCUUUUUAUACUCCUUGUGAUUGUCAUAUUUGAACUUAACUUUGUGUGAUAUGGCUAAUACUUAUGGUAAAGCUAAAGGUUUUUUUGGAACAAUACAAUGUAUUUAUAAAGUUUUUGCAAAUUCCACUAAGAGAUGGAAAAUUUUAAAAGAUAAUGUGAAAGGGUUAAUGAUAGAUGCCAUUUUAUGCAUAUUUUAGGGUAGUUUUUAUUAUCAUUUAGCAUCAUAUUUUGUACAUUUUCAUGUCAUUUAUUUAAAUAAUGUUCAUCUCAUGUAUUUUAUUAGAAUUUUCGUACUGCUAGCAUUUUUUAUGUCAAUUUUAGAUAAUUCGAGUGGAGCAGUGCUUUGGGAGCAGUUGGAUGCGUGUUUGGAGCUUAAAAUGGAGUUAUAAGUGAAGGAAGAUGUUGAGAAAUACUUAAAAUAUGUUUUGGUCAAGAAACAUUUGAUUGAGUUGAUCACACAAAGAUAGAAUGUGCAAUCUGAAGCUAGAGGAUGUUGCUGGCAACUUUGACCCCUUGUCAGCAUUUUGACCAUAUCUCGUGAAUGGUAACUCCGACUCAAACCUAGACAUAAUGCGGGACAAUUUUCAUGUUUGUGAAAAAGGCAAAAUCUGCGAUUACAUGGCCCAAAAAAUGUGAUAUCAAGUGUGAUCGCAUGUUUGCCACGAAGCUUCCCAUGGUCAAAUUAAGUCGUCUGGAAGUCAUCCGAUGUGAAAAGCCCAAACAUGUGAUCGCAUGUUGUCCAAAAAAAAGCCCAGAACAUCAAUGUACGUCAUUAAAUCGGCCCGAUACGUGUUUUUAAGAAAACCUGUGAUCGCAUGUUACUAGAUUCUUGUUUCGAAAACUUCCACCUUGAGUAUAAAUACAACCCUCAUAAUCAGAUGCUUCCAGACGACGAAAACCACUUCUAAAGGUGAUUUCUGAUACUUUUAAGCGACUUUUGGAGAUCUAAAGAUUGCGAAUCAUCUCACACAUUUAGUUUAGUAUAUUUAUCAGUAAAUGUUUCUUUUAUCUAGUUUAGUUUCGUUUUUAGCCAUGUCUGGCUAAACUUUUUAUUUUCGGUUCUACAUAGACUAAUACUUUUCAUGUGAUUAGUUUUCAGACUGAUUUUCGUUUUGUAUUUCCAUCUAGAUUUUUCAGUUUUGAGCUUAAUAAAUGUUUGGUUUUUAA